CUUCAGCGACCCCAGCCACAGCGGGUCGGCCGCGUCCCGGUCCUGCCCGUAGGUCGCCAGGAUCGCCUGCGCCUC
rnacentral:antisense_RNA from 1 species